GACGAACGCUGGCGGCGUGCCUAAUACAUGCAAGUCGAGCGCAGGAAAUCGACGGAACCCUUCGGGGGGAAGUCGACGGAAUGAGCGGCGGACGGGUGAGUAACACGUAAAGAACCUGCCCUCAGGUCUGGGAUAACCACGAGAAAUCGGGGCUAAUACCGGAUGGGUCAUCGGACCGCAUGGUCCGAGGAUGAAAGGCGCUUCGGCGUCGCCUGGGGAUGGCUUUGCGCUGCAUUAGCUAGUUGGUGGGGUAAUGGCCCACCAAGGCGACGAUGCAUAGCCGACCUGAGAGGGUGAUCGGCCACACUGGGACUGAGACACGGCCCAGACUCCUACGGGAGGCAGCAGUAGGGAAUCUUCCACAAUAGACGAAAGUCUGAUGGAGCAACGCCGCGUGAACGAUGAAGGCCUUCGGGUCGUAAAGUUCUGUUGUAAGGGAAGAACAAGUGCCGCAGGCAAUGGCGGCACCUUGACGGUACCUUGCGAGAAAGCCACGGCUAACUACGUGCCAGCAGCCGCGGUAA
rnacentral:rRNA from 1 species